GAUGAACGCUAGCUACAGGCUUAACACAUGCAAGUCGAGGGGCAGCAUGAACUUAGCUUGCUAAGUUGAUGGCGACCGGCGCACGGGUGAGUAACACGUAUCCAACCUGCCGAUGACUCGGGGAUAGCCUUUCGAAAGAAAGAUUAAUACCCGAUGGCAUAGUUCUUCCGCAUGGUGGAACUAUUAAAGAAUUUCGGUCAUCGAUGGGGAUGCGUUCCAUUAGGUUGUUGGCGGGGUAACGGCCCACCAAGCCUUCGAUGGAUAGGGGUUCUGAGAGGAAGGUCCCCCACAUUGGAACUGAGACACGGUCCAAACUCCUACGGGAGGCAGCAGUGAGGAAUAUUGGUCAAUGGACGAGAGUCUGAACCAGCCAAGUAGCGUGAAGGAUGACUGCCCUAUGGGUUGUAAACUUCUUUUAUACGGGAAUAAAGUGAGGCACGUGUGCCUUUUUGUAUGUACCGUAUGAAUAAGGAUCGGCUAACUCCGUG
rnacentral:rRNA from 1 species